UAUUGCAAUUGGAUAAAUUAUACUUCAUUAAUUAUUUUAGUUGUUUUUGUUUCUGUGCGUGUUUCUUUGUUUCUUUGCAGGAAAAACCUGCUUGAAUUGGAAAAUAUUUCCUCAACGGAUGUGAAAUGUGUUUGGGCAACUAAAAAGGAGGCAUCUUUAAAUAAAAAAAAAUUAAUAGAAAAUGAAGAAUAUAAAAAUUCUCCUGGGCCUUCAAUAGCCAUUGAUUUGUAAUUAUUCAAGUUGAAAGUCAACUACAAACAACUGAUACAUUAUGCACUGAUUUGUAUUAUAUUUUCGAGAAUGCCACAAAGUCACCUAUCAUGAAUAGAAUUGCUGAUAUAAUUGUACACCCUCAAAGGAAAUGUUGUGCUGAUACAUAUCAAGAAAAAAUUGUUUGCUAUAAUAUAAAAGAUAUACCUAUGUAUAGAAACUUCUUUAAAUAGGAAAAAAUGGCAAGAGCAGAGGAGGUAUUGAAUAACAGGAUCUAGAUGCUAUGGACUUUAUACUUAUAAAAAGGGAGACUGGGAAAUAAAAAGCGCAAAAUAUUUCUGGCCUAAAACAUUUUCAAAUAAGUACACAAAAUAUGGAAAUGCUGCUGAAAAGGAAGCUAGGGAUACAUAUUGCAGGAACUUGGGCAGAAAGGUUUUAACAUGUGGAUUGAUUAUUUCAAAAUCAAAUCCGUACCUAGCAUAUUCACCAGAUGGUAUUGUGAUGGACAAAAAUGUUCCUAUUAAAUUGCUUGAAAUUAAAUGUCCAUUUAAAGGUCAAGAGCUUACUGCAGGGGCAUUGUUUUCUUGUUGCCCAUUUUUGAAAAUAGAAAAUGAUCGAUUGGUGUUAAAUAAAAAUCAUUCAUAUUAUGGACAAAUUCAACUGGGCAUGGCAAUAAUGAAUUUAAAAGAAUGUGACUUCAUUGUUUAUUCAUCACUAGAUAAAUCUUUUUUAAAUAUUGUUGUACCAUUUGAUGAAGGAUUUGCAUUCACAAUGAUGUCAAAAUUAAAGACCAUAUAUUUUGAACAUAUGAUAUUUGUAUAAAUUAGAAAUAGGACUUUUUAAAAUUUCAUAUUCGAAUAAUUCAAAUAAUCAAAAUUAGAUAUGUAGUCAAAUAUUCAAAUUACUGGAAUAAUUAAGCACAUAAUUAUACAGAUAUUUUAUUUUUAAUACCUAAAACUAUAUUUUCAGUUUUAACUUAUUGUGAAAAAACAUUCAAAUGAAAACCACAGGAGAACACUAAUCUAAACCAUAUAAAUUA